rnacentral:ncRNA from 1 species
AAGUCGUAACAAGGUUUCCGUGGUAUAAGUUAGCGUGAUUCUUCUGCUGGUAAACUUAUAGAAGCCUUAGUGCCCCAAAGAUGGGAGGCCACGCGACAUUAAAUAAAGUGGCCGUUGCUAGUUGACUGUGGUCAGCAACACAGCCAGACUGUAUGGGAAUACCCAAGGCUAAACCUAAAAUUAAGACAGUUUCAGGUUUAGGCACCUGCUUUUAGCAUGGGUGACCCACAGCGAUACCCUAUAGGCACAUAUAGCCUGCUGGGAACGUUCACAGACUAAGUGGUUGUGGGUAGAGUGCAGACUGCACCCUAUUUGAGAUAUAGUCGGGCUUGAUAGUAAUUUACCAAGUGAUGCACUACUUAUAGUGUAACCUAACACCGUUCCGUAGGUGAACCUGCGGAAGGAUCAUUACAGAGAACAUGCCCAUUAGGGUAUAUCUCCCACCCUUUGUCUACAAUACUCUUGUUGCUUUGGCGGGCCCGUCUCUUGACCGCCGGCCUUGGCUGGUCUGCGCCUGCCAGAGGACCCAAACAUUCUUUUAUUAUGUCGUCAGAGUAGUAUACAAUAGUUAAAACUUUCAACAACGGAUCUCUUGGUUCUGGCAUCGAUGAAGAACGCAGCGAAAUGCGAUAAGUAAUGUGAAUUGCAGAAUUCAGUGAAUCAUCGAAUCUUUGAACGCACAUUGCACCCUCUGGUAUUCCGGGGGUAUGCCUGUUCGAGCGUCAUUACACCCUCAAGCACCGCUUGGUAUUGGAUGCGCUCAUGUGUGCAUCUCAAAAGUAUUGCGGCAGCAUUCAGCUUCUAGUGUAGUAUUUUCUUGCUAAGGAGUGCAGGUGUCUGCUUGCCUAGACCCUAAUUUUCAAAGGUUGACCUCGGAUCAGGUAGGGAUACCCGCUGAACUUAAGCAUAUCAAUAAGCGGAGGAAAAGAAACCAACAGGGAUUGCCUCAGUAACGGCGAGUGAAGCGGCAACAGCUCAAAUUUGAAAUCUGGCCUUGCGGUCCGAAUUGUAAUUUGUAGAGGAUGUUUCGAGCAAGGUCUGGUCUAAGUUCCUUGGAACAGGACGUCAUAGAGGGUGAGAAUCCCGUAUGUGACUGGGUACCUACGCUCAUGUGAAGCUCCCUCGACGAGUCGAGUUGUUUGGGAAUGCAGCUCAAAAUGGGUGGUAAAUUUCAUCUAAAGCUAAAUACUGGCCAGAGACCGAUAGCGCACAAGUAGAGUGAUCGAAAGAUGAAAAGCACUUUGGAAAGAGAGUUAAACAGUACGUGAAAUUGUUGAAAGGGAAGCGCUUGCAACCAGACUUGCAUGCAGUUGAUCAUCUGGUGUUCUCACCGGUGCACUCGGCUAUAUUCAGGCCAGCAUCGGUCUUGAUGGUUGGAUAAAAGCCUUAGGAAUGUAGCUUCUCUCGGGGAGUGUUAUAGCCUAGGGUGCAAUGCAGCCUAUUGGGACCGAGGACCGCGCUUCGGCUAGGAUGCUGGCGUAAUGGUUGUAAGCGACC